AUGAACGCUAGCGACAGGCUUAACACAUGCAAGUCGAGGGGCAGCACAGGUAGCAAUACCGGGUGGCGACCGGCGCACGGGUGAGUAACGCGUAUGCAACUUACCUAUCAGAGGGGGAUAACCCGGCGAAAGUCGGACCAAUACCGCAUGAAGCAGGGGCCCCGCAUGGGGAUAUUUGCUAAAGAUUCAUCGCUGAUAGAUAGGCAUGCGUUCCAUUAGGCAGUUGGCGGGGUAACGGCCCACCAAACCGACGAUGGAUAGGGGUUCUGAGAGGAAGGUCCCCCACAUUGGUACUGAGACACGGACCAAACUCCUACGGGAGGCAGCAGUGAGGAAUAUUGGUCAAUGGGCGUAAGCCUGAACCAGCCAAGUCGCGUGAGGGAUGAAGGUUCUAUGGAUCGUAAACCUCUUUUAUAAGGGAAUAAAGUGCGGGACGUGUCCCGUUUUGUAUGUACCUUAUGAAUAAGGAUCGGCUAACUCCGUGCCAGCAGCCGCGGUAAUACGGAGGAUCCGAGCGUUAUCCGGAUUUAUUGGGUUUAAAGGGUGCGUAGGCGGCCUUUUAAGUCAGCGGUGAAAGUCUGUGGCUCAACCAUAGAAUUGCCGUUGAAACUGGGGGGCUUGAGUAUGUUUGAGGCAGGCGGAAUGCGUGGUGUAGCGGUGAAAUGCAUAGAUAUCACGCAGAACCCCGAUUGCGAAGGCAGCCUGCCAAGCCAUGACUGACGCUGAUGCACGAAAGCGUGGGGAUCAAACAGGAUUAGAUACCCUGGUAGUCCACGCAGUAAACGAUGAUCACUAGCUGUUUGCGAUACACAGUAAGCGGCACAGCGAAAGCGUUAAGUGAUCCACCUGGGGAGUACGCCGGCAACGGUGAAACUCAAAGGAAUUGACGGGGGCCCGCACAAGCGGAGGAACAUGUGGUUUAAUUCGAUGAUACGCGAGGAACCUUACCCGGGUUUGAACGCAUUCGGACCGAGGUGGAAACACCUUUUCUAGCAAUAGCCGUUUGCGAGGUGCUGCAUGGUUGUCGUCAGCUCGUGCCGUGAGGUGUCGGCUUAAGUGCCAUAACGAGCGCAACCCUUGCCACUAGUUACUAACAGGUAAAGCUGAGGACUCUGGUGGGACUGCCAGCGUAAGCUGCGAGGAAGGCGGGGAUGACGUCAAAUCAGCACGGCCCUUACAUCCGGGGCGACACACGUGUUACAAUGGCGUGGACAAAGGGAGGCCACCUGGCGACAGGGAGCGAAUCCCCAAACCACGUCUCAGUUCGGAUCGGAGUCUGCAACCCGACUCCGUGAAGCUGGAUUCGCUAGUAAUCGCGCAUCAGCCAUGGCGCGGUGAAUACGUUCCCGGGCCUUGUACACACCGCCCGUCAAGCCAUGGGAGCCGGGGGUACCUGAAGUCCGUAACCGCGAGGAUCGGCCUAGGGUAAAACUGGUGACUGGGGCU
rnacentral:rRNA from 1 species